GGAGGAUGGGGACCGGCCACUUGGAUGAUUUUUUGGGUGAGAUUCAUGAUUUAUUAGCUAAUUAAUAAAUUAAUUGAGUAAUAAAUCCAUUAAUUAGCUAAUUCAUAUAAUUAGAAAGGAAUGAUUUGGGGGUUACCUUGUGAAGAAGAUUUGAUGAGGAUGGAUGAAAUAGGUUUUGAAUAAAUACCUAUUUUGGGCACUUUUGACUUGAUUGAGGGAUGAUUGUCCACUGCUUGCACAUAAAAAUCCUGGUGUGCCUCGAGGGUAAUCUUAUCUUUUUACCCAAAAAUCCAUGUGCCGCCUCCAUAUUUUUCUUGAUUAUUUUUGGCCCCACAACGUUAAUGUCCACAAAAA
rnacentral:lncRNA from 1 species